GUCGCUCCUACCGAUUGAAUGAUCCGGUGAAGUGUUCGGAUUGCGUCGACGAUGGCGGUUCGCCGCCGUCGACGUCGUGAGAAGUUCAUUGAACCUUAUCAUUUAGAGGAAGGAG
rnacentral:rRNA from 1 species